UCUGGCUGCAGCUUGAUUAAAUCAUCCUCAAGCGUGAAGUAUCACACGAGGAAGCGUAAAGAAAAGCAACCGACUGCACGGGCGUUUAAGGAAAUCAGUGCACGUGCCGCUGACACGACCUCUGACCUGACCUCUGGAAGAAAAGCGACCUGAUGAAACGAUGGCUGCCAGGUCCUUCUCUUCCCCCCGGCCGUCUCCUAACGCACCCGUCGCCGUGUCCUCGGAUGUGUGCUCAGUGGAGGAGAAACUGCUUUAUGGACAAAGGCUUCCCGGCUGUCCGCACUUUGUGCGACGUGGUCACACAAAGUGUAAAGAGACGCUGAGACGGAAAGUAGCUCUUUUGUCUUUCUGUUAUUUCUGUACAUGGACACACAAACUUAUUUCAGCAACAUUCCGUUACUUUGUGUUGACUUUGUAUUCACUUUGUAAUCACUUUGUGCGUGAUGGGGUAUUUGCAUUUCUUAGUAGUCGUUUUAUGUUACUUUGUAGUCACUGUGUAUCUUUUUGUGUCCCUCAGCAGUUGUUUUCUAUGGUUUUUGUCAUUUCUGAAUCCAGCCAUUCAACCGUCCCUCUUGAGGUUUUGUGUUCCUUUGUCAUCUUUUAUCUUUUCUUGUUGUUUUGUGUUUCUUUGUGGUUGUUGUGUAAUGUCGGUGGUUGUUUCCUUCCACUCUCUUUUCUUUGCGGUGUGUACUAUUGUGUAUUAUUUCUUUGGAUAUGCAACAAGGAGUGAUGAGAUUCCCUCUGAACAGAGACCUGGCCAGGAAACUGUGCACUACUUUCUGUACUCCUUCUAUUGUCAAUCAGUAAAAUAAAACCAUGUCGUCG
ensembl:lncRNA